CCACGACUCCCACUGCUUAUUUCAUCAAAGAAUUUGUUGAAAGAUAUAAAGUCCUUACAUGUAUAAUUCAGUCGUCUUGCUCUAACAACUUUCUCUGUUCCAAUCUUGUAGCAUAUAUAUUUAUAAAAAUGUAAGUUUUCUGCUUUACUGUGAGACAUUGUCUUUUAAUUUGUAAGGAUUCUAAAUGCUGCAAUGGUGCUGUAUUAUCUCUUUUGACUUUAUUUUGUAAGGAAUCUAAAUGCUGCAAUGAUGCUGUAUUAUCUCUAUUGACUUUAUUUUGUAAGGAAUCUAAAUGCUGCAAUGGUGCUGUAUUAUCUCUUUUGACUUUAUUUUGUAAGGAUUCUAAAUGCUGCAAUGGUGCUGUAUUAUCUCUUUUGACUUUAUUUUGUAUUAUCUUUUUUAACUUUAUUUUCUAAGGAUUCUAAAUGCUGCAAUGAUGCUGUAUUAUCUCUUUUGACUUUAUUUUGUAAGGAUUUUAAAUGCUGCAAUGAUGCUGUAUUAUCUCUUUUGACUUUAUUUUCUAAGGAUUCUAAAUGCUGCAAUGAUGCUGUAUUAUCUCUUGACUUUAUUUUCUAAGGAUUCUAAAUGCUGCAAUGGUGCUGUAUUAUCUCUAUUGACUUUAUUUUGUAAGGAAAUUCUAAAUGCUGCAAUGGUGCUGUAUUAUCUCUAUUGACUUUUAUUUCUAAGGAUUCUAAAUGCUGCAAUGGUGCUGUAUUAUCUCUAUUGACUUUAUUUUGUAAGGAUUCUAAAUGCUCACUGUGCUUAAACGGCUGUGGGUAACUUAAGUUACCCACAGCCCAAGAUGGCGGACUCUAAACUCGUUGAUAUUUAAUUCAUACAAAAUGUACCUUUUGCGACGUUUUUCAUGCAGAAUGUAAAUAUUUAUAGGAUUAUUGAAUAAAGAAAUGACUAACAAUUACCAUAAAUUUGUUAAUAUAGAGUUCACUAAAGCGCAAGGUCAACUUUAAAAAAUGCAUAAGAUGUCCGUAACUUUUUGAUCGAAACUAAGCAGACUGUCCGUAACUUUAUUUUUAGAUGUGGGUAACUUUUGAUUUAAAAUUUUAAGAAUUAUAAUUUCAACAAUUAGAAGACAAUUAACAUCAUAUUUGUAACCUUCGCGGCCGUUUAUACUACUCAUUCACCACC
rnacentral:lncRNA from 1 species